CUGCUUCAUUUGUCCUCCUUCUCAAAAGUUCAACCGUUCGCUCUUUCUCCAUAUUGCUUAUCGCUGCAGCUGAAUAGGGAGAUGGGAGGAACGCCCUUCAAUUUCUGCCUUCGACCGCAACUUUUUCUAGCCAUACUUUCGCCUGAAAACUGCCACCUCUUCUUGCUCCUUCACGGUUCAGGCUUCCUCUUUGCGAUCUCGUGAAAAUACCGCCGCUGUGAGGGGUGGUGGCUUAGCCGCGAUUGGAGAAACAAACCAGGCAUGUCCACUUGCUGCCUUUCCGUGAUGAUGUCGUUGCGGUUCGUGCAUCACAAGCUCCACAAUACUGUUUGAGUCACCGGUGUUGCAUAUUAGAUCCGUGGCUGUUGUAGGUUCGCCCAAGACUACCGCAUGCGAGUUCAGAUCCGGAGGUUCUGGUGGUGCUCGUUGCACUACAACCGCCCUUGCUAGCUCAGACCAUUCACCUGUGCACCAAUCUUUGAAGCCUCUAGUUGCAUCGUCAUAGCCAGUACUCGGUUCAGCCAGUUCACCUUCAUCGGAUGCUGCAUUUUUGGUAGGAUUAGGUGCAUAUCUGGUUGGAAACGAUGUAGGAAUGCCAUGUCGAAUAUAUAACAAUAUCUACUUUUUCGUAGUGCCUCUAGUAUCCCAAAAUUGGCCGGCUAAGAUGGACCACCAGUAACUAUUGAUUUCAUCGAACAUAGGAAUUUCGCUCCUGACGAAUUCAGUUUCUUCUGCCAUGAAAGGCUCUCAAUAAAAAAUACCAAUGUUAAAACUCUUCUUCGAGUUAGGAAGAGAAACUU